rnacentral:rRNA from 1 species
UGGGGAAUAUUGCACAAUGGGCGCAAGCCUGAUGCAGCCAUGCCGCGUGUAUGAAGAAGGCCUUCGGGUUGUAAAGUACUUUCAGUCGGGAGGAAGGUGUCAAGGUUAAUAACCUUGGCAAUUGACGUUACCGACAGAAGAAGCACCGGCUAACUCCGUGCCAGCAGCCGCGGUAAUACGGAGGGUGCAAGCGUUAAUCGGAAUUACUGGGUGUAAAGCGCACGCAGGCGGUUGAUUGAGUCAGAUGUGAAAUCCCCGGGCUUAACCCGGGAAUUGCAUCUGAUACUGGUCAGCUAGAGUCUUGUAGAGGGGGGUAGAAUUCCAUGUGUAGCGGUGAAAUGCGUAGAGAUGUGGAGGAAUACCGGUGGCGAAGGCGGCCCCCUGGACAAAGACUGACGCUCAGGUGCGAAAGCGUGGGGAGCAAACAGG